rnacentral:rRNA from 1 species
AGGACGAACGCUGGCGGCGUGCUUAACACAUGCAAGUCGAGCGAGGCUCCUCCUUCGGGAGGAUGUCCUAGCGGCGAACGGGUGAGUAACACGUGGGCAACCUGCCCUCAGCUCUGGGAUAAACUCCGGGAAACCGGGGCUAAUACCGGAUACGACCUCCACGGGCAUCUGUGGAGGUGGAAAGUUUUUCGGCUGAGGAUGGGCCCGCGGCCUAUCAGCUAGUUGGUGGGGUGAUAGCCCACCAAGGCGACGACGGGUAGCCGGCCUGAGAGGGCGACCGGCCACGACUGGGACUGAGACACGGCCCAGACUCCUACGGGAGGCAGCAGUGGGAAUAUUGCGCAAUGGGCGAAAGCCUGACGCAGCGACGCCGCGUGAGGGACGAAGGCCUUCGGGUUGUAAACCGUCUUUCAGCAGGGACGAAGCGAGAGUGACGGUACCUGCAGAAGAAGCACCGGCCAACUACGUGCCAGCAGCCGC